UACGUAGGGUCCGAGCGUUGUCCGGAAUUACUGGGCGUAAAGAGCUCGUAGGUGGUUUGUCGCGUUGUUCGUGAAAACUCACAGCUCAACUGUGGGCGUGCGGGCGAUACGGGCAGGCUUGAGUACUGCAGGGGAGACUGGAAUUCCUGGUGUAGCGGUGGAAUGCGCAGAUAUCAGGAGGAACACCGGUGGCGAAGGCGGGUCUCUGGGGCAGUAACUGACGCUGAGGAGCGAAAGCCGUGGGGAGCGAACAGG
rnacentral:rRNA from 1 species